GUGGGGAAUAUUGGGCAAUGGGCGAAAGCCUGACCCAGCAACGCCGCGUGAAGGAAGAAGGCUUUCGGGUUGUAAACUUCUUUUGUCAGGGACGAAAAAAAUGACGGUACCUGACGAAUAAGCCACGGCUAACUACGUGCCAGCAGCCGCGGUAAUACGUAGGUGGCAAGCGUUAUCCGGAUUUACUGGGUGUAAAGGGCGUGUAGGCGGGAAAGCAAGUCAGAUGUGAAAACUAUGGGCUAAACCCAUAGCCUGCAUUUGAAACUGUUUUUCUUGAGUACUGGAGAGGCAGAUGGAAUUCCUAGUGUAGCGGUGAAAUGCGUAGAUAUUAGGAGGAACACCAGUGGCGAAGGCGAUCUGCUGGACAGCAACUGACGCUGAGGCGCGAAAGCGUGGGGAGCAAACAGGAUUAGAAACCCUGGUAGUCC
rnacentral:rRNA from 1 species